GACGGAGGAUGCAAGCGUUAUCCGGAAUGAUUGGGCGUAAAGCGUCCGCAGGUGGCAGUUCAAGUCUGCUGUCAAAGACCGGGGCUUAACUUCGGAAAGGCAGUGGAAACUGAACAGCUAGAGUAUGGUAGGGGCAGAGGGAAUUCCUGGUGUAGCGGUGAAAUGCGUGAGAGAUCAGGAGAACAUCGGUGGCGAAGGCGCUCUGCUGGACCAUAACUGACACUCAGGGACGAAAGCUAGGGGAGCGAAU
rnacentral:rRNA from 1 species